rnacentral:rRNA from 1 species
AUAGAACAAUGUAGAUAAGGGAAGUCGGCAAAAUGGAUCCGUAACUUCGGGAUAAGGAUUGGCUCUAAGGGUUGGGUACGUUGGGCCUUGGGUGGAAGCACCGGGAGCAGGUCGGCACUAGCCUUUACGGGCCGGCGCCUUCCAGCACCUGGUUGUGGACGCCCUUGGCAGGCUUCGGCCGUCCGGCGUACGCUUAACAACCAACUUAGAACUCGUACGGACAAGGGG